rnacentral:sRNA from 1 species
ACAACGGUAGAACCUGCGGGCCAGCAUAC